rnacentral:RNase_MRP_RNA from 2 species
AGACCAUGUCUGUUUCCUAGGCUAUACACAGGGACUGGUUCCUUUUUCUUCUGCCUGGGGGAAUGUCCCCAGACCUCUGGCAGAGAGGGCUGUGCACGUGCACCUAGACAUCCCUUCAUUUCUCACUGUUGAAACCUGCCUAUGGUGCAACUUACAAGGGUACAUGUGAAAUUUACUAGGUGUAGAAUGUAAAUGUCUUAAACAAUAACUAAGAAAAUGCCAUGAAGGCUAUGUUAACCAGUUUGAUGAAAACAUUUGAAAUUAUAUAUAAAACCAGCACAUUGUACCCCAUGAUUGCAUUACUAAACACAGCUAUGAUUUAAUUAAAAAAAAAAAAACAAAACCCACGGAGGAGCAAAUGUUGCCCAACUGUGUGAUUCGGCCAAAGGCAUCGUCUGUCAACUCCACUAGUUACGCAGGCAGUACGUGUCAUAGCACACAACCACACGGGACCCAUUCUCAGCAUGGCU